rnacentral:lncRNA from 1 species
CUCAGACUGGGCCGGGAGCUCCGGCUGCGCGGGCUCUCGGCGGCCGCGGCGACAGCAUCCUCCACCGCCUCCUCUCUUUCUUUUCUUCCCCUCCGCUUCUUUCUUUUCUUUCUCCUUCUCCUCCUUAUUUUCCUGCCCUGUCCCACCCCCACCCACCCCCCUGCUCCUUCUCCAGAGGACCUUAGGUCCUCAAGUCCCUGAGCGGUGGCAGCGGCGACUGCGGGUGCAUCGUUUCCGCGCCCAGAUUUUAUUGAUCUGAUCCAACCUGUCUUGUGACUGCUAGCUGGAAUUAAGAUCCUUCAGAUUGUUGUCUCUAAUCGAGGAAACAUUGAUUGGAAACUACUCAUUCAGAAAAUUAAAAGAAAGAAACCAGAACAUAUUAUCAACCUUUGAGAACACAAUAUAACGAACUUUACCAUUUUACCACUUCUUUGAACAGGAAACAUCCCAGGACAUUGAAGAAUGGCAGAUGAUCGGAAAGAUGAAGCAAAGGCGCCUCACUGGACCUCAGCUCAACUUACAGAGGCAUCCGCCCAACCACACCCACCGGAGAUCAAGGAUCAAGGUGGGGCAGGGGAAGGACUUGUCAGAAGCGCCAAUGGAUUCCCCUACAGAGAGGAUGAAGAGGGCGCCUUUGGAGAACAUGGGUCCCAGGGCACCUACUCAAAUACCAAAGAGAACGGAAUCAACGGAGAACUGACCUCAACUGACAGAGAAACAGCAGAGGAGGUGUCUGCAAGGAUAGUUCAAGUAGUCACGGCGGAAGCUGUAGCAGUCCUGAAAGGUGAACAAGAGAAAGAAGCUCAGCCUAAAGAUCAACCUCCUGCUCUGCCUUUAGCAGCUGAAGAGACAGCUAAUCUGCCUCCUUCUCCACCCCCAUCACCAGCCUCAGAACAGACUGUCCCAGUGGAGGAAGGUUUACUUACAGCCUCGAAGAUGGAGUUUCAUGAUCAACAAGAAUUGACUCCCUCUCCAGCCGAGCCACUAGACAAGAAGGAAAAGGAACCAGAGACAGAAAGUAAGCCUGGUGAAGACCUUAAGCAUGCUGCCUUAGUUUCUGAGCUGGAAACAACUAAAACUUCCCCUGAUAAAAAGGACAUACAAGGCACAGAAGAAGAAAAAGCACCUCCCACUCUGUUUGGGCACACUCUUGGUGCCAGCCUAGAAGAUACGAAACCCAAGACAGAACCAAGCCUAGUGGUACCUGAUAUUGGCCUUCCUGCAGAGCCCACAGCUGCAAAAGAGCAGAAGGACUGGUUCAUCCAAAUGCCAACGGAAGCCAAAAAGGACGAGUGGGGUUUAGUUGCUCCUGUAUCUCCUGGCCCUCUAACACCCAUGAAGGAAAAAGAUGUACUUGAGGAUAUCCCAAAAUGGGAAGGGAAACAAUUUGAUUCUCCCAUGCCGAGUCCCUUUCAGGGUGGAAGCUUCACUCUUCCUUUUGACAUCUCAAAGCAUGAAAUAGUUGCAGCAGCAGCAUCCUUUGCUCCCGCCCUGUUACAGCCAGAUGACCAAAAAUCUCUGGAAGAAACUGGUAGCCCAGCAACUGCCAAAGAUAGUUCUAAAGUUGAAGAGCCCCAGAAGGAUCAACCUGACAAAAUAGCAGAAGCACCAGCCUCAGAGGCAGUUGCUGCACCCAAAGAUGCUCACGUUUCAAUUGUGGAAGAGUGUGUCCCAGAGAAAGUUUCAGGAGAAGAGAAAGGGAUGAUAAAGGAAGAGAGUGUGCAGAUAAAAGAGACUCCCACCCUCAGCGAACAGGAAUCUACACUUGCUGAAAAGGAACCUCACCUAAAGCUUGAAGAAAAACCAACCAUUUCUGACAAAGAAGCCAUGCCAAAAGAGAGUGAACCCCCAAAAUUGAUAGAUGAAGAAACAAAUAUAAUUCAACCUUCCACCGAACACACUUACUCCAAAAAAGAAGAGAAGGGCCAGGAGCCUCCCACAGAUAUAUUAAAACAGGACUCAUUCCCUGUAAGUUUGGAGCAAGCAGUUACUGAUUCAGCCAUGACCACUCAGACCCUGGAAAAAGUCAUGACUGAACCAACUGCACUAAGUGAAAAGAUUGCCACCCAGGAGCUCUUUGAAGAAAAAGUUGCUGACAAAGAUCAUAAGGUAGAAGGAGUUGGAGUUGUAACAUCAGCUGAACUUGACAUGCCAUUUUAUGAAGACAAGUCAGGAAUGUCCAAGUACUUUGAAACAUCCGCCUUGAAAGAAGAAGUGACCAAAAGCAUCCAGCCAGGCAGUGAUUACUAUGAACUAAGUGACACAAGAGAAAGUGUCCAAGAGGCUUUUGAUACUGUGUCUCCCAUGCAUAAAGAUGGCGACAAGGCACUUCCAGAAGAAGAACCCCAGCCCAGUGCUCCGGCACAAGAAGCAGGGUAUAGCACUCUCGCACAGAGUCAUCCAUCUGACUUACCAGAAGAACCCAGUUCUCCCCAAGAAAGAAUGUUCACUAUUGAUCCAAAAGUGUAUGGAGAGAAAAGGGAUCUCCACAGUAAGAAUAAGGAUGAUCUGACACUAAGCAGGAGUUUAGGACUUGGUGGUAGGUCUGCAAUAGAACAAAGAAGCAUGUCCAUCAAUUUGCCCAUGUCUUGCCUGGAUUCCAUAGCCCUUGGGUUUAACUUCGGUCGAGGGCAUGAUCUUUCCCCCCUGGCUUCUGACAUUCUAACCAAUACUAGUGGAAGUAUGGAUGAAGGAGAUGAUUACCUUCCAGCCACAACACCUGCCGUGGACAAAGCCCCUUGCUUCCCAACCGAAAGCAAAGAAGAAAAAGAACAGGCAAAGGAAGAAAAAGAUACUGGAGAGGAAAAUGCCCGAGUCGAGACAUCAUGUGAGUCGCCUUUCCUAGCCAAAGAUUAUUACAAAAAUGGUACUGUCAUGGCUCCUGACUUGCCUGAAAUGCUAGACCUGGCAGGCACACGGUCAAGGUUAGCUUCCGUGAGUGCAGACACGGAUGUUGCCAGGAGAAAAUCAGUCCCAUCAGAGACUGUGGUGGAGGAGAGUAGCACUGGCUUGCCCCCUGUCACUGAUGAAAACCACAUCAUCGUUAAAACUGACAGUCAACUCGAAGACCUGGGCUACUGUGUGUUCAAUAAAUACACAGUCCCCCUCCCGUCACCUGUUCAAGACAGUGAGAAUUUAUCUGGGGAGAGUGGUUCCUUUUAUGAAGGCACUGAUGAUAAAGCACGAAGAGAUUUGGCCACCGAUCUUUCAUUAAUUGAAGUCAAGCUGGCAGCUGCCGGAAGAGUAAAAGAUGAAGUCAGUGCUGAGAAGGAAGCAUCCCCACCUAUCUCUGGUGACAAAUCAGGACUGAGUAGGGAGUUUGAUCAGGAGAAGAAAGCCAGUGAUAAGCUGGAUACUGUCCUAGAGAAAAGUGAAGAACAUGCUGAUUCAAAAGAGCACGCCAAGGAAACAGAAGAGGCUGGUGAUGAAGUUGAAACUCUUGGAUUAGGAGUGACCCAGGAGCAAGCUUCAGCCAGAGAACUGACAGUUGCUAAAGAUGCAUCACCUGUCAUGGCUGAGAAAGCAGAGAAAGGUCUUAGUUCAGUGCCAGAGGUAGCUGAGGUAGAACCGUCCAAAAAAGCUGAACCAGAACUGGAUUUGGCUGUGAAGAAAGCUGAACAAGGUCAGUUAGAUAUUAAAAUCAGUGACUUUGGACAGAUGGCCUCAGGGCUACACGUAGAUGCUGGAGAGGCAGCAGAGCUUAAACUUGAGGCUACCCAGGACCUCGCCCCCUCAUCCACAGCCCCUCCGGAGGUAGAUGCAUUUAUGGGUGUUGAGUCCAGCCACUUGAAAGACGGCACCAAAGUUAGUGAAACAGAAGUCAAGGAGAAGGUGGCUAAGCCUGACUUGGUGCACCAGGAGGCUGUGGACAAGGAAGAAUCCUAUGAGUCCAGCGGUGAGCAUGAAAGCCUCACCAUGGAGUCCUUGAAAGCCGAUGAGGGCAAGAAGGAAACUUCCCCAGAAUCUUCUCUAAUUCAAGACGAGAUUGCCAUCAAAUUGUCUGUGGAAAUACCCUGUGCACCCGUUGUUUCAGAGGCUGAUGUAGCCGCAGAUGAGAGAGCUGAUGUCCAGAUGGAAUUUAUUCAGCCACCAAAAGAAGAAAGCCAAGAGACCCCGGAUAUUUCCAUCACACCCUCUGAUGUUACCGAGCCGUUGCCUGAAGCUGCCAGAGCUGAACCAGCGGAGGCUCAGAGCGAGGAAGAAGAGAUCGAAGCCCAGGGAGAAUAUGACAAGUUGCUCUUCCGCUCAGACACCCUUCAGAUUACCGACCUGGGUGCCCCAGGCGUCAGGGAGGAGUUUGUGGAGACCUGUCCUGGUGAGCACAAAGGAGUGAUUGAGUCUGUCGUAACCAUCGAGGACGACUUCAUCACCGUCGUGCAAACCACAACUGAUGAAGGGGAAUCAGGGUCCCACAGUGUGCGUUUUGCAGCCCUCGAGCAGCCCGAGGUGGAAAGGAGACCGUCACCCCAUGCUGAAGAAGAACUUGAAGUAGAAGAGGCAGCUGAAGCCCAGGCUGAACCCAAGGACGGUUCCCCAGAGGCUCCGGCUUCCCCUGAGAGAGAAGAGGUUGGACUCUCAGAAUAUAAGACAGAAACCUAUGAGGAUUACAAAGAUGAAACCACCAUUGAUGACUCCAUCAUGGAUGCUGACAGCCUCUGGGUGGACACUCAAGAUGAUGAUAGAAGCAUCAUGACAGAACAGUUAGAAACUAUCCCUAAAGAGGAGAAAGCUGAAAAGGAAGCUCGGAGAUCAUCUCUUGAGAAACAUAGAAAAGAAAAGCCUUUUAAAACCGGGAGAGGCAGAAUUUCCACUCCUGAAAGAAAAAUAGCUAAAAAGGAACCUAGCACAGUCUCCAGAGAUGAAGUGAGAAGGAAAAAAGCAGUUUAUAAGAAGGCUGAACUUGCUAAAAAAACAGAAGUUCAGGCCCACUCUCCCUCCAGGAAAUUCAUUUUAAAACCUGCUAUCAAAUAUACUAGACCAACUCAUCUCUCCUGUGUUAAGCGGAAAACGACAGCAGCAGGUGCUGAAUCAGCUCAGGCUCCCAGUGUAUUUAAACAGGCAAAGGACAAAGUCUCUGAUGGAGUUACCAAGAGCCCAGAGAAGCGCUCUUCUCUGCCGAGACCUUCCUCCAUCCUUCCUCCUCGCCGAGGUGUCUCAGGAGACAGAGAUGAGAACUCCUUCUCUCUCAACAGUUCUAUCUCUUCUGCGCGGCGGACCACUCGGUCAGAGCCAAUUCGCAGAGCAGGAAAAAGUGGCACUUCCACACCCACUACCCCUGGAUCAACCGCCAUCACUCCUGGCACCCCACCAAGCUAUUCUUCACGCACCCCGGGCACUCCUGGAACCCCCAGCUACCCCAGGACCCCUCACACACCAGGAACCCCCAAGUCGGCCAUCUUGGUUCCCAGUGAGAAGAAAGUCGCCAUUAUACGCACGCCUCCGAAAUCUCCUGCUACUCCCAAACAGCUUCGGCUUAUCAACCAACCACUGCCAGACCUGAAGAAUGUCAAAUCCAAAAUUGGAUCCACAGACAACAUCAAAUACCAGCCUAAAGGGGGCCAGGUACAGAUUGUCACCAAGAAGAUAGACCUAAGCCAUGUGACAUCCAAAUGUGGCUCUCUGAAGAACAUCCGCCACAGGCCAGGUGGUGGGCGUGUGAAAAUUGAAAGUGUGAAGCUAGAUUUCAAAGAAAAGGCCCAAGCUAAAGUCGGUUCGCUUGACAAUGCUCACCACGUUCCCGGAGGUGGUAAUGUCAAGAUUGACAGCCAAAAGUUGAACUUCAGAGAGCAUGCUAAGGCCCGUGUGGACCAUGGGGCUGAGAUCAUUACACAGUCCCCAGGCAGAUCCAGCGUGGCUUCCCCCCGACGACUCAGCAACGUCUCCUCUUCUGGAAGCAUCAACCUGCUUGAAUCCCCCCAGCUUGCCACCCUGGCCGAGGAUGUCACUGCCGCACUCGCUAAACAGGGCUUGUGAAUAUCUCUCAUUUAGUAUUGAUGUCAUACUAUUUAGGCAUGAGCUCUGGCAGGAGUGGGCUCUGAGCAGGUGUUAUAUUCAUUCUUUACAAACCGUAAAAUAAAUAAUCUCAUUCCCAAACUGUAGUAAUUGUUACAAUUUUAUAAAAAAAAAUAGUAUAUGCAGAAAUUGAUUUGAUUUCCAUUUGCAACAGGAAGAUACUGGCUUUACAUGAGUACAAUUGGACAAUUUUUUUUUCGCUCUGCUGUUUUGCAUGGAGUAUCAUUAUUUUAAAAAUUGCAUUUCUACCUUUCAUGUGCCUGAAGGCUAUCUACUACAUUCUGAAAGGCCUUGUUAAAAUCCAAGCUGCUCAUUUCACUAUUCUGUUGCUGGGUGAAAAGAUAAAAAGUUGCCCCUUGUAACUUAUUACAGGUUAAAUUAAAUCAAGGAGUCAUUGCAGGAAGGGAAGAGCAUGUAAGAAAUGGUUUUUUUUUAAAGCGUUAUUUUGUAUAAAUGGGAAGAAAGAUUCAAUUAAGUUAUUAACGUUUGGGACCUGGAUAAUUAUAUCAGAGUAUAAGUCAAUCCAAUAAAUUAUUUAAUUAAUUAAAAAAUAGUUUCGAAGCAUUUGAGCUGUGGUUGAGGAAGUGAAAGUGCAUCUCUUAGGAAUGAAGCACUUUCAUUAGGAUGGACUUGUGUCUGGUUAGGAUGUCAGUUGAUCAGCUAGAUUUGUGUCCACACUACCAGUUUCACACCCUUUCCAUCUGUUUGAUACAGUAUUAUAGAUAUAAAUAUAUAUAUAUAUUUCUCUGUGGCCAUUUGUGAUACUUCCUCAUACUUGAAUAUUAUACUUCCUUAUUCACAGUAUCUGUGUCUCCUGCACCCUUUGGUGUUGCAAUUUUAGGUAUGUGAAAGUAGAUGUUAGCAGGGUUCUCUCCCUAUUAAAAAAAAAAAAGUUAAAAAAGACAAAAAGUUUUAGCAUGAAGUUGCUUUCUGUAACAACUCAAAACUGUAACCCUGUUUUAGUGCCAGAUACAAGUUUCUCCCAUUAAAGUUUCUCCCGUGAUGCUAGAAAAAAUUUAUUUUUCUUUGCUUUCACCAACAUGGAGUUUGUUGGGGGUGGGUCCAGUUAUACAUAAAAGGGGUUUACAGAUUGUUGGUUUAAGAUUAUGGGUUUGUCUUAUUUUGAAUCACAGAAUAUUUUGGGGUUUACUCCUAUAAUCAUUCAUGGAAUAGACUUAUUAAGAUUUCUUUUUCUUUUUUUUCCAUUUGCUAAAGUUGAAACUAACAGUGGGAGUUUGGGACAUGAUAUUCCAUUCUUCCAAGCAGUACCUGUUUAUUCAGUUAUCUGAUAGAAAAUGUUUGGCCUCCAUACCCGAAGUAAGAUCCCUUGAUCAGAAAGGGAAAAUACAGUAUUUUGAGAAGCUACAAAAUAUUGGAGAUGCAGAUAUCUAAAUCAGUUUUUUCAUGAUUCCAACAUUGCACUCUAUAAAGGAAUACUGUUUUACUAUUAUUUAUCAGUAGCUAAUACGGUUCUGACUUUAUAUACAGUCUAGACAUCACAAAUCAACUAAUUCUUCUUUAAGAAUCAUUCAUCUUAAAUUUAUGAAGAAGCAAUGAAAUAGUCAUUAUUAGUCUGAGUAGGGCAAUGGGUUACUAUGAUGAAUGGAUGCUUUUUAGUAUUUAUCUGUUCUUUUUCUUGCUCAGGGCUGGUAGGCUGGAUCUGAAAAGUUAAAGGCAAAUGUUUCAAUAGGGUUUGAUCCCUUUGAGUCAAAUCAGUUCUCAAGCAUAAAGGAGGAAAUGAUGAACAUGGACUGAGGCAAUAAGCUAGUAUAGUAGCAUCUAAGAACGAAGCUGAAGGAUGGAAAGGCAGAGAGACACGGGUGCCGUGUUGUGACCCAUUGGAAGUUACAGCCAACGUGACUUCCGUGAAAGAAACUCUGUGAGCAAAAGUGCACCAUUCACUGUCAACUAAGAGAUUUUACGGAGGCAAACAUUUCUGAAACUAUAGCUCAGUUAUUUAGGAUAGUCAAAGAUUUAGAAAGGACUGAUUAGGACUAUGGGUGUGUCUAUUUUCUGUCUAAUUAUUGCUGUGAGGUUUGAUUUGACCAAUCUGGGCAUUUUAUUCAUCAGCUUCCUUUGAAAUGCACCAGGAAAUAGGAAAAGAAAGAAUAGCUGUGUGGGGACUUAAUGGUAUUUUCUUAUGUGUUAGGUAGUGUUAGGUAGUGAUUAAAGCUCUAGAAAGAAAUUAACAGCUGGUUAGAACAAUUUUAACCUGUGAAACAUGUAUUUUUUUCAACUUGGUUUAAAAUUUUUAUAAACACUAAGUAACCAUGUUCUACAUAUUAAAAUUGUUUUUUUACAAAUACAUGUCUAAAAUAAAGAUUAUAUAAGGUACCCAGUGAUUAGAUUUGGCAUUAAAACAAAUGUUUGCUUCAAAUCACAGCAAAAUUACAAUGACUAAAUACCCUCACUUUGUAUGGAAAUUAAUAAUUCUAUAAAAUGAAAUUGAAAAUUGGUAGCAGUAAAAGAAAGAAAUACAGGCUAACUGUCUUCUUUGGGGGAUAAGGGGUGGAACCCAUCUUACCUUUACUCUCAAGAUUAACGACACAAAUUAAGCUUUUUGAACACCACUCUUGUGGGGACAUCCAUACGCUGAUCUAGAAAUUAAGGCUUCAUAGUCUCAAUUCUAGAUCAAUUAAUGCCAGUUUCUCUCUGGCUUUUGCCUUGGAGAACCUGUUUAAGGAAACAUAAGUAAUCCAGAGCUAUGAAGAGUUAAAAGGCCCACUCACUCUCUCUGGGUCACCUGCAACCAAUAAUUGGGUACCUUUCAAUGAUGCAGGAGAGAUCCGAGUUCAUGAUGAGUUUCAAAGGCCAUGUUCAUUUAGGAACCAACUCUCUCUGGAUUCUCCUGCUGAGUUCCAGCAGGGUGAUGGGCUGAAAUCCCACCCACAAGCAAGACACCUGUGGAUCACCAACGAGGUAUAGCUGAAGAAGGCUGAAGUGAGAACUUGGUUAAAUGGAAGAAAGUACUGACAGUAGCUGGCCUUCUCCACAUACUCACAUAGUUUUAGAGCAGGAAAUGGGAUCAUCAGGCAAAAUAAGAGAUCAAGUCACUAUUAAAGAAAUCAUCUCAAUGUGGUUGAUUUUUGACAUAGCUGCAAUUAUAGCAUUUUCUCCUAUUUUUUACACUAUGAAAAGGAGGAAAACAAACCAUUCAUGGUCUAAGUAGCUAGAAAAGGUAGAUUCAUGGUUUGAAAAGGCAAAUUCUAGGCAUUCUUUCCAAGAUUAAUAUGUUAAAUCAGUAUUGAUGUUUGUUUUUUUAAACCUAGGGUUUUUAGCCUGGGUAUGUAGGUUGAGGCCAAGUCCCUCUGCAGGAAAAAGCUUAUUUUUAAACUCAGAAAAUGUCAAUCAUGAUACUUCAACUUUAGCAAAAAGAAAAAAAUCAACAAAAAGUAUACUCUGUAUGCUGGGAUUCCAAGGUUCCAACAUGCCGCUACAAAUCUGUGGGGGGUUUCUUUCUUCUGAUAAUUCUAGAGCCUGUUACCAUAGAAAGGCAUUUCUUCAAUGGCUGGUUGUAGUUAGUUCAUGUUUUUCAAUCAAAAUUUGCAAAUGUAUUUGUUGCUGUAUAGUGAUUGUUUUGCAAAAUAAAAUUGCUUGUCACCUAUCUGA